AUAUAAAUAAGCGGAGGAAAAGAAACCAACAGGGACUGCACAGUAGCGGCGAGCGAAGCUGCACAAGCUCAGGGUUGAAAUCUGCGGCAACGCAGAAUUGUAGUCUAGAGACGCGGAGCGGCGCGGCGCAGCGGCCUCGCAAGUCCCUUGGAAGAGGGCGCCGGAGAGGGUGAGAGCCCCGUGGCGAGGCGCGUUGUGCUGUGCGAUUUGCGUUCGAAGAGUCGGGCUGUUUGAGAUCGCAGCCCAAAGCGGGAGGUAAAUUUCUUCCAAAGCUAAGUAUGGGCGGGAGACCGAUAGCGCACAAGUA
rnacentral:rRNA from 1 species